rnacentral:rRNA from 1 species
AUUGAACGCUGGCGGCGUGCCUAACACAUGCAAGUCGAGCGGUAACAGGUGUAGCAAUACAUGCUGACGAGCGGCGAACGGGUGAGUAAUGCUUUGGAAUCUUCCCAGUAGUGGGGAAUAACCAGUCGAAAGACUGGCUAAUACCGCAUACGUCGGAAACGGGAAAGCGGGGGAUCGUAAGACCUCGCGCUAUUGGAUGAGCCAAAGUCGGAUUAGCUAGUUGGUGAGGUAACGGCUCACCAAGGCGACAAUCCGUAGCUGGUCUGAGAG